rnacentral:rRNA from 2 species
CAAGUCGAGCGAACCACUUCGGUGGUUAGCGGCGGACGGGUGAGUAACACGUGGGCAACCUGCCUGUAAGACUGGGAUAACUUCGGGAAACCGGAGCUAAUACCGGAUAAUCCUUUUCCUCACAUGAGGAAAAGCUGAAAGUCGGUUUCGGCUGACACUUACAGAUGGGCCCGCGGCGCAUUAGCUAGUUGGUGAGGUAACGGCUCACCAAGGCGACGAUGCGUAGCCGACCUGAGAGGGUGAUCGGCCACACUGGGACUGAGACACGGCCCAGACUCCUACGGGAGGCAGCAGUAGGGAAUCUUCCACAAUGGACGAAAGUCUGAUGGAGCAACGCCGCGUGAGCGAUGAAGGCCUUCGGGUCGUAAAGCUCUGUUGUUAGGGAAGAACAAGUAUCGGAGUAACUGCCGGUACCUUGACGGUACCUAACCAGAAAGCCACGGCUAACUACGUGCCAGCAGCCGCGGUAAUACGUAGGUGGCAAGCGUUGUCCGGAAUUAUUGGGCGUAAAGCGCGCGCAGGCGGUCCUUUAAGUCUGAUGUGAAAGCCCACGGCUCAACCGUGGAGGGUCAUUGGAAACUGGGGGACUUGAGUGCAGAAGAGGAAAGCGGAAUUCCACGUGUAGCGGUGAAAUGCGUAGAGAUGUGGAGGAACACCAGUGGCGAAGGCGGCUUUCUGGUCUGUAACUGACGCUGAGGCGCGAAAGCGUGGGGGAGCAAACAGGAUUAGAUACCCUGGUAGUCCACGCCGUAAACGAUGAGUGCUAAGUGUUUAGGGGGUUUCCGCCCCUUAGUGCUGCAGCUAACGCAUUAAGCACUCCGCCUGGGGAGUACGGCCGCAAGGCUGAAACUCAAAGGAAUUGACGGGGGCCCGCACAAGCGGUGGAGCAUGGGGAUUUAAUUCGAAGCAACGCGA